UACGAAGGGGGCGAGCGUUGCUCGGAAUCACUGGGCGUAAAGGGCGCGUAGGCGGGAUGGCAAGUCAGUCGUGAAAUCUCUCGGCUCAACCGAGAAACGUCGGCUGAUACUGCCGUUCUUGAGGGAUGCAGAGGAGACUGGAAUUCCCGGUGUAGCGGUGAAAUGUGUAGAGAUCGGGAGGAACACCGGUGGCGAAGGCGGGUCUCUGGGCAUCUCCUGACGCUGAGGCGCGAAAGCGUGGGGAGCAAACGGG
rnacentral:rRNA from 1 species